rnacentral:rRNA from 1 species
GAUGAACGCUGGCGGCGUGCCUAAUACAUGCAAGUCGAGCGAACGGACGAGAAGCUUGCUUCUCUGAUGUUAGCGGCGGACGGGUGAGUAACACGUGGAUAACCUACCUAUAAGACUGGGAUAACUUCGGGAAACCGGAGCUAGUACCGGAUAAUAUUUUGAACCGCAUGGUUCAAAAGUGAAAGACGGUCUUGCUGUCACUUAUAGAUGGAUCCGCGCUGCAUUAGCUAGUUGGUAAGGUAACGGCUUACCAAGGCAACGAUGCAUAGCCGACCUGAGAGGGUGAUCGGCCACACUGGAACUGAGACACGGUCCAGACUCCUACGGGAGGCAGCAGUAGGGAAUCUUCCGCAAUGGGCGAAAGCCUGACGGAGCAACGCCGCGUGAGUGAUGAAGGUCUUCGGAUCGUAAAACUCUGUUAUUAGGGAAGAACAUAUGUGUAAGUAACUGUGCACAUCUUGACGGUACCUAAUCAGAAAGCCACGGCUAUCUACGUGCCAGCAGCCGCGGUAAUACGUAGGUGGCAAGCGUUAUCCGGAAUUAUUGGGCGUAAAGCGCGCGUAGGCGGUUUUUUAAGUCUGAUGUGAAAGCCCACGGCUCAACCGUGGAGGGUCAUUGGAAACUGGAAAACUUGAGUGCAGAAGAGGAAAGUGGAAUUCCAUGUGUAGCGGUGAAAUGCGCAGAGAUAUGGAGGAACACCAGUGGCGAAGGCGACUUUCUGGUCUGUAACUGACGCUGAUGUGCGAAAGCGUGGGGAUCAAACAGGAUUAGAUACCCUGGUAGUCCACGCCGUAAACGAUGAGUGCUAAGUGUUAGGGGGUUUCCGCCCCUUAGUGCUGCAGCUAACGCAUUAAGCACUCCGCCUGGGGAGUACGACCGCAAGGUUGAAACUCAAAGGAAUUGACGGGGACCCGCACAAGCGGUGGAGCAUGUGGUUUAAUUCGAAGCAACGCGAAGAGCCUUACCAAAUCUUGACAUCCUUUGACAACUCCAGAGAUAGAGCCUUCCCCUUCGGGGGGGCAAAGUGACAGGUGGUGCAUGGUUGUCGUCAGCUCGUGUCGUGAGAUGUUGGGUUAAGUCCCGCAACGAGCGCAACCCUUAAGCAUAGUUGCCAUCAUUAAGUUGGGCACUCUAAGUUGACUGCCGGUGACAAACCGGAGGAAGGUGGGGAUGACGUCAAAUCAUCAUGCCCCUUAUGAUUUGGGCUACACACGUGCUACAAUGGACAAUACAAAGGGCAGCGAAACCGCGAGGUCAAGCAAAUCCCAUAAAGUUGUUCUCAGUUCGGAUUGUAGUCUGCAACUCGACUACAUGAAGCUGGAAUCGCUAGUAAUCGUAGAUCAGCAUGCUACGGUGAAUACGUUCCCGGGUCU